rnacentral:tRNA from 1 species
GGUGGCUUAGUAGUAGAGUGUUUGCCUUGUAUGCAUGAGGACCUGGGUUCGAUUCCUUGGUACCA